CAAGCUUGUAUUUGCAAAUGUACACACCCUGUGGGAGGUGAUCUGUACAUACGCUGAGAUACUGUACAUAAAAUUGCCUCUGAAUCCCAAUCAUCUGAAAACCGUGUCCUCAGCCUUUGAUACCUUCAGCUGUUUUAUGAAAGUCCUCCAAGUGGAUGAAAGUAUCAACAACCGGAACAAGAGUUUUUCAUUGCCCUAUUUGAGAAGAGCUGCGUGAACGACUUUUAUAUUCAGGAUAGAGAUACAUUCAUCAAUCCAACCACCAGGAGCCGCACUUGCAACUUCAGCCUCCAUCAGAGGACCUCAGCUGCCCCAGCGAACAGGGCCUUCUGUACAGGGAAUGUGCUCCUCCUCGAAGCAUAGACAAGAAGCAGCCCUUAGAUCUCAUCAGGAAAUUCUACGGAGAGAAGGUCGGAAUCUACUUUGCUUGGGCUGGGCUAUUACAUUCAGAUGCUCCUCCUGGCAGCAGUCGUGGGGGUGACUUGCUUUCUUGUGACCCAGGUGGCUGUCUCCUUGAACUGAUGAUGCAGCUGACAAUAAUCAUGGGAGGACAGUCCAUCUGGAAUAACAUACAAGAGGUGUUACUUCCGUGUUUCUCAUGUGCAAAUUGGUAUCCCUGCAUGAGAACCAUAAACCAACAGAAAACCCAAAAGACCGAGGACAAUGAUGGGUUGCCGACAGCCCAAGCUUUUCUGCCACAGAAGAGUGGUUCCAGUCAGGAAGACUGAGCAAGAGGCUCAGAGUCUUAGCUAAGGACAAGCAAGUCGGGACUUCUAAUACGACCUAAUGUCAUCGACGGGGGAGGGCAGUUCAGCACAAGAAGGGAGCACCAGCUGGGUCAUGAAUCUAAUGAUGCCACAGUUUCGGAAGCAGAACAGACCACCCCACGAUGGGAAUGGGACAACCAUCUGUAUCCAACGGGCAAACUGGGGUUAUUUUAUGAAUACCCUGAAAUGAGUAUUCAGUUUGGGUUCACCACAGUAUAUGUGGCCUCUUUCCAGUGGCCCCUCUGUUGGCUCUGGAGAACAAUAUAUUGGAAAUCAGAGUGGGUACGUGGAACCUUGACUACCCAGUAUAGAUGCAUUGUGCCAGAAAGCCCAGAACAUCGCAGCAUGGCAGCCCACCAUGCAAGGAACUGCAAUUCUGGCUUUGGUGGACCAAUGUGAAUAAAAAGGCUUCAUUGGGUGAAGACUUAGAAAAGUCCAAAAAUGCAUUGGUGUUGUUUCCUAAGGAAUCUAGUGUUGGGUACUGUUUAAUAUGAGAGGGAGAUGCUAACACUAUCAUCGUUAUAAACAACAUAGUUGUUGUAACUGUAAUUGUUAUUAUUUUUAAUAUAUUUUCUUUAUAAUUAUUAUUUGUGACUUACAAGACCCUUACAGAGGCAGUUGUUAAGGAGCGUGGCCGUUAUACUG